rnacentral:rRNA from 1 species
UGCGUAGGCGGCUUGUCAAGCCAGAGGUGAAAGGCAUUGGCUCAACCAAUGUAAGCCUUUGGAACUGACGCGCUUGAGUACAGGAGAGGUAAGUGGAAUUCCUAGUGUAGAGGUGAAAUUCGUAGAUAUUAGGAGGAACACCAGUGGCGAAGGCGACUUACUGGACUGUAACUGACGCUGAGGCACGAAAGCGUGGGUAGCGAACA